UACGUAGGGGGCAAGCGUUGUCCGGAAUCAUUGGGCGUAAAGAGCGUGUAGGCGGUCCGGUAAGUCGGCUGUGAAAGUCCAGGGCUCAACCCUGGGAUGCCGGUCGAUACUGCCGGACUAGAGUUCGGAAGAGGCGAGUGGAAUUCCCGGUGUAGCGGUGAAAUGCGCAGAUAUCGGGAGGAACACCUAUGGCGAAGGCGGGUAGCUGGGCCAACACUGACGCUGAUGCGCGAAAGCUAGGGGAGCAAACGGG
rnacentral:rRNA from 1 species